GACGAACGCUGGCGGCGUGCUUAACACAUGCAAGUCGAACGGAAAGGCCCUGCUCUUGCUGGGUUCUCGAUUGGCGAACGGGUGAGUAACACGUGAGUAACCUGCCCUUGACUGUGUGAGAACUUCAGGAAACUGGGGCUCAUAUCCCGUAGAAUCUCCUGCUCCAUGUUGGGCGUUGGAAAGUUACGGCUGUUGGGGAUGUACUCGCGGCUUAUCAGCUUGUUUGUGUGGUAGGUGCUUACGAAGGCUUUGACGGGUAGCCUGCCUGAGAGCGUGAACGGGCACCUUGGGACUGAGGUACGGACCAGACUCCUACGGGCGGCAGCAGUGGGGAACAUUGCACAGUGGGCGGAAGCCUGAUGCAGAGACCCCGCGUGCGGAAUACCCGCUUUCGGGUUGUGAACAGAUUUCGAAUGUGACGAAGCGUGCGUGACGGUAAUGGGUAAAGAAGCAACGGCUAACUACGUG
rnacentral:rRNA from 1 species